rnacentral:lncRNA from 1 species
UUUCGUGGUCACUUCGCUUUACUUCUCCUCCGAGGGUUCGAUGAAGAAUGUAAUAGAAAUACACUACUAGCAGUAUAGUCAACUGUUUUACCCCUAAACUCGUGACAUUUAUCCUUUCUUAGAAACCCUUAAUAACUGCUGCUGUAACAGGAAAGUAUACAGUAUAAUCUGUAAAGCAUCGAAUAGGUGCCACUAAGCACUCGCUAGUUCUGCUAAAAAUAAUAGUCAAAUUUACUUAAAAAUUACAUUCUCUUAAAACAAGUAAGGGUUAUCGGAUGGUGUGGCCCAUUGUCUACAAAAUCCAAAUAUAUUAAUAAGAUUAACAUGUAAUGUCCACAACUAGAAUUCUUUCGAAAUUAUAUCUUCCCGGUCAGGUUGGGUACACUUGUGGUUAAACAACACAUUCACAACAGCAACCACAACGGCUAGGCGGUAUAUCGAGCCAACGUAGAAGACUUUACGUAGCAGCUUGACCUGCAAGAUAUAGCAGCCAAAUCUCCAUCAAAUUACACCCAUAUUGCAUUUUAUAAAAAAAUAUAGAACACGUUGGAUAAUGAAGUCUUAGAUACACUUACUCUUUCAUCAAAAUCCGGGAUGUUCAUGGUCGGAAGACCUUUGAUCAUAUGUCUACCCGAACAUUCCUAAAGCGUUGCUCACCAGCAAUAACACUUUUUGUAUUUUUAGUUGCAUUCAUUUACGUUCUCAGUUCAAAUCCAGACAUUUCCGACGUUGCUUUUCAUUCUUCUGGGUUCGAUGCUAUACAGUACAAUUUGAUGUUGUUUUGCCUAUUCUUGCCAAUGACUAUUCCGUCUUUUUUUCCCUAAGUCAGGAAAUCCAGAACCACAUCAUAUUCUAUGUCUUGUUUCAAUCCCUAAACUAGACGAGUUAUGCCUAUAUUUGAAAAUCAUUAUUAUAAAAAUGGAAGCGGGGGAUUCGUAGAGGGACAAAGAAAAUACUUUGCGGUAUUCUUUUGUGUAACUUUCCGUUCUGACUUCAGAUCUCAGUGGUUAACUUUACCUUUGAUUUUGCAAGGAUCGAUAAAAUAAAAAUAUCGUCCAGGAAACAGUUAACGCCACAUCUCUCUAUCUCUUUGAGGCUUUUCUCAUUGCCUGGUAGUCUCUCACUCUAUCUAGUAAUUCUUCUUCUUCUCUCUCUCUCUCUCUCUGCUUCUGGAACAAUAAAUCAAGUACAACAGAGGUUCUCUGGAACUUUUGGUUCCCAAACCUUUCCGGGUUAUUAAUUUUUUCCCGAACGAGAAUGACCACCUCUAAAUUAAACCAUAUUAAAUUUACUUAAAUAAUUAAAUAAAAUACAGUUAUUUAUAAAUUCACGUAAAUGACACACAUUUAUUGAUACUCUACCGAGUAAGGUAUUGUGAUACUGGUGACCGUGGGAAUUUGGAGUUCCUGCUUGUAAACUAAUGCGACAGACGUGUCUGGAAAGCUACUGUUGUAUCUUAUUACAAUGCAUGGCCUUAUGUUCGUGCCAGAAAUAAUUACGUUGAUUUUUAAUACAUAAAAGUGAAGGAAUGUGUUUAUGUUCCGAAUUGUAGGCGCCGGUUUUGCACCAGAGUAGCUGAAAUUUUGCAUUGGAAACAUCUUUACAUGGAGGAUGGCAUCGAAUAUGUGAUUUCCUCAAAAAUUUGUUCUUUUUAGCACCUGACAAAAGAACUAACAGUAUUAUGUAACCAUAAGCUAUACAAAAGAUAUAGAAAAGCUAUUGAUUAAUAAAAAUAAUUCAUAUAGAAAAAUUAUGUAAAUUAACACCGUAUUUCGAAAAAAGCAUGAUUUUCCCAAAAUUAAAAACGUUGAGAGGAAAUAUUAAUUUUGGUGCUGCAUUUUUUACUUUUUUUUUAUUAUAUACUUUCCUUGCUGAUAAGCACGAACUGUCUUUUAUAUUGCUAGUUGUUUAAAUCAUUAGACUGCCGCCAUGCUGGAGCACCACCUUUAAAAUGUUUUUAGUUGGACAAUCAAAGUAAUUAUUUUAAAAUCUGGUACUUCUAUCGGUUCCUAUAGCCAAACCACUAAUAUUACGUAAAGGUGACGUAAACAAACCACUAUCGGUAGUCAAGUGGUGGUGGUAGUGGGACAGAGAUGCAGACACACACACAUACAAACAUAAACGUACGCUCACACACACACACACAAACUCACUCACACAUAAGGCCUUGGUGGGCCUGGCGGAUUCUAUAUAUAAAACAUUUACCCUAAUGGUUACAAAGCGAGCUUCUUCGCUACACAGCCACGCCUGCACCUAUUAAAGUGACACACAUGCACACGCACACACACGCACACACACGCACACAGACACAGACACAGAUACACAUACACAGACACACACACACACAGAUUCAGACACACAGACACACAUACACACACACACACACACACACACACACACUGAUGAGUUUAGUAAUCUACUGCCAUAAAAAGAGUACUCAAUACCAUGGUACUGAUGAAUGAUAUUUUAUUUUGGUCAGGUUAGUUUCGUACUACACUGAGUUUCAACUGUAGGUACAUAAGAUCAUCAGAUAAGUAUCAGCUAGCCUGAUGAUCUUGUGUAACUACAGGUGAAACCCAGAGUGUCUACAGACUGACUCGAUCAAACUAAUAUGUAUGUAUAUAUGUAUGUAUGUAUGUAUGUAUGUAUGUAUGUAUGUAUGUAUGUAUGUAUGUAUGUAUGUACGUAUGUAUGUAUGUAUGCAUGCAUGUAUGUAUGUAUGAUUGCAUGCGUUGUAUAUAUGUAUACAUAAAAGAUGAAUGCAUGUUUUAAGCUGGAAGUCGCAGUUUUAUACCUUAGCAACUGGUAUUUUCGAUAGUGGAAUAUGUUUUCGAAGAGAAUUUAAAUGCUAUUUAAAUCUUUCAGAUGAUUCCUAUAAAAUGAAGCAACGUUGAUUAAUCUCGCUACUUACGCAUAAAUAUAUUAUUUCUUUCUUCUGCCUUCUCCGCCUUCAAUCUCUUUCUCUCUCUCUCUCUCUCUCUCUCUCUCUCUCUCUCUCCCUCUCACUAUUCCUCUUCUUCACUCACCAACUAUCUGUAUCUAGCAAUCUACUUCUAUCAUGUACUUCAUCAAGUUGUUAAUUGCUUUCCAAGAUCCUGUUUCAGCGACCAAUCUCUAAGAUUCACGAAGUUAGUCUGCUUCCCCGUUUGUGUUCCAAGUUGACAUUACAACUGUCUAUCUCUUUGUACGUCUCUCUUAUAGUCAGUUCUCCGUCUUACUCUGACUCAUGCACUCUCUCGCCUCUUCUUUAUCCGUCUCUUUAGUUGUCUAUCUAUCUAUCUAUCUAUCUAUCUAUCUAUCUAUCUAUCUAUCUAUCUAUCUAUCUAUCUAUCUAUCUAUCUAUCUAUCUAUCUAUCUAUCUAUCUAUCUAUCUAUCUGUCUAUCUAUCUAUCUAUCUAUCUAUCUAUCUAUCUAUCUAUCUAUCUAUCUAUCUAUCUAUCUAUCUAUCUAUCUAUCUAUCUAUCUGUCUAGCUACCUAUCUAGUUAUCUAUCUAUCUAUGUAUCUAUCUACAUACAUCUCUCUCUAUAUAUAUCUUCUACUGUAGACUUACAUUUAUAAAUAUGUAUGCAUACGUACAUACACACACACAUAUUUAUAUAUAUAUUUUCAUACACGCAUACAUAAAUAUAGAUAUAUUUAUAUUAUUUACUUGAUAAAUGACAAAGGAGCAGUGCCUCGCGGCUGUUUCAGCAUUAAGGGAUUGUGCUUAGAAGAUAAUUGUGUAGUGCAUUGCAAGACUUUUAUCAAACAGUUAUAGUCCCAUACAUACAUACAUGAAUGCAUACAUACACAGUAUAUAUAUAUAUAUAUAUAUAUAUAUAUAUAUAUAUAUAUACAUAUAAUAUUAAAUUAGAGAUAAAACCACUAUUAGGCAAAUCAUACAAUGAAAAACUUAAGCCAAUACAUAAGAUUAUUUAAUUUAUAUUAUUUAAAUAUAUAUAUAUAUAUAUAUAUAUAGUGUAUAUAUAUUAAAAUAUUUAAUAAUAGUUUAAUUCAGCUUCGCCUGACUUAAUGUUUCGUACGCGCUUCAGAGAAACUUUUCUCAUCAGAUGUAAAGAGGUAUACCACGCAUCCACGAAACAUUAAGUCAUGCGGCGAUAGUAUGAUGAAUGCUACAUUUUUUUCGUUUCUUCACGCAUUCGUAUAUAUAUACUCGCAUAUAUUCACACACACACACACACACACACACAAACACACACACACACAUACACACACACAUACACACACACAAACACACACACACAUACACAUACACACACUCACUCAUCCACAUACACACACAUUUUAACUAGCCGAAAUUUACAAAAAUAAAUCAACGACCACGAGUUUCGUGGUGUGCCAAAUACUAAACUUUAUACUCAUGUAGUGCGCUCUAUUUAUCCUGUUUGUUCUAUCUGUCCCCCACCACAGAACCAGGUACUAGAUUUGUUAAAACAAUUGUCGUGAUCGAUACAGAUUCUCGUAUCUUGCAUCUUCCGUUUUCUCUCAUUAAUCAAAUACCCAGCGAACACUAAUUUAGUGAACGUGCGUUACCGGCAAGCUAACAGGUGUUUAUCUUACGAUUUAUUAUCUAAUUGUGUAUGUGUUUGUGUUUGUGUGUGCUUCUGUGUAUAUAUAUAUAUACACACAGACAUAUUAUAUAUGCAUGUGUGUGUGUGUAUGUGUAUAUAUAUAUAUAUAUAUGGAGGCGCAAUGGCCCAGUCGUUAGGGCAGCGGACUCGCGGUUUCGAUUCCCAGACCGAGCGUUGUGAGUGUUUAUUGAGCGAAAAUACCUAAAGCUCCACGAUGCUCCGGCAGGGGGUGGUGGCGAUCCCUGCUGUACCCUUUCGCCACAACUUUUUCUCACUCUUUCUUCUGUUGGCCUGCUCGCUUAGCUAGCGGGGUGGCGUCAUUUGAAGGCUAAAACAAUGUGAAGCGCAUUGUGACCAGCGAUAUGUAGCAACAUCUGAUAGCCUGGUCGGUCAUGGUGAUCACGGUGAUAUAUAUAUAUAUACAUACA